ensembl:snRNA U6 U6 spliceosomal RNA
UGCUGAUUUCGGCAGCACAUACACUAAAAUUAGAAUGAUACAGAGAAGAUUAGCACAGCCCCUGCGCAAGGACGACAUGGAAAUUUGUGAAGCAUUCCAUAUAACU